rnacentral:rRNA from 1 species
UUUCCUACGGGACGCAGCAGGGAAUCUUCCGCAAUGGGCGCAAGCCUGAUGGAGCAACACCGCGUGAGUGAAGAAGGGUUUCGGCUCGUAAAGCUCUGUUGUUGGAGAAGAACGGGCGUGAGAGUAACUGUUCACGCAGUGACGGUAUCCAACCAGAAAGUCCCGGCUAACUACGUGCCAGCAGCCGCGGUAAUACGUAGGUGGCAAGCGUUAUCCGGAUUUCUUGGGCGUAAAGCGAGCGCAGGCG